CCCGCUGAACUUAAGCAUAUCAAUAAGCGGAGGAAAAGAAACUAACAAGGAUUCCCCUAGUAACGGCGAGUGAAGAGGGAAAAGCUCAAAUUUGUAAUCUGGCGGUCUCUGGCCGUCCGAGUUGUAAUUUGGAGAGGCGUUUUCCGCUGCUCUGGACCACGUACAAGUCCCCUGGAACGGGGCGUCGUAGAGGGUGAGAAUCCCGUUCACGCACGUGGACUGCCAAUGCUAUGUGAUGCGCCCUCGAAGAGUCGAGUUGUUUGAGAAUGCAGCUCAAAAUGGGUGGUAAAUUCCAUCUCAAGCUAAAUAUUGGCGAGAGACCGAUAGCGAACAAGUACCGUGAGGGAAAGAUGAAAAGAACUUUGGAAAGAGAGUUAAACAGUACGUGAAAUUGCUGAAAGGGAAACGCUUGGAGUCAGUCGCUUCGUCGGGGAUUCAGCCGGGCUUUUGUUCGGUGUACUUCCUCGGUGAGGGGUCAGCAUCGAUUUCCGAUGCGGGAAAAAGGCGUGAGGAAGGUGGCACCUCCGGGUGUGUUAUAGCCUUGCGUCAUAACCGUGACUGGGAUCGAGGACCGCAGCUCGUCCUGCUGCGCUUGAGGUUCGCCUCUGAACACGCGCUUAGGAUGCUGGCGUAAUGAUCACCAGUCGAUCCGUCUUGAAACACGG
rnacentral:rRNA from 1 species